rnacentral:tRNA from 1 species
CGCGGGGUGGAGCAGCUUGGUAGCUCGUCGGGCUCAUAACCCGAAGGUCGUCGGUUCAAAUCCCGCGCCCUAAUCCA